UACAGAGGGUGCAAGCGUUAUUCGGAUUUACUGUGCGUAAAGCGCGUGUAGGCGGUUUGCUAAGGCUGGUGUGAAAGCCCUGGACUCAAUUCAGGAAGUGCAUUGGAUACUGGCAGACUGGAGUACAUGAGAGGAGAGUGGAAUUCCUGGUGUAGAGGUGAAAUUCGUAGAUAUCAGGAGGAACAACAGAGGCGAAGGCGACUCUCUGGACUGUUACUGACGCUAAGGCGCGAAAGCGUGGGGAGCAAACAGG
rnacentral:rRNA from 1 species